AUUACUACAUGAUGACAUAACUUUGACAAAACAAAGUCAACUGAUUUUAAGACCAUAGAUCACACAUCAUACUAGAAUUAAUUGAAGCAAUUAGCACUUUUACCGCAUUCACUCCCCUUAUUGGUACAUCCCAGUUACCAUACCUUGAAUAAUACUUCCAUCUCCAAGGCACAUCUGGUGUUCACUAUGACCAUCCAAUGAUGAAAUCCUCCAUGAUGUGGUGUGUGUGUUUUGCGGUUAAAAGUGUAGCAGACCUGUAAAGCUGCAAUGCUCAUCAACAGAAGACACAUUUUGCUGGAUAGAUGCUAUGUUAGCAUUAGGCUAAAAGAGCAGCUUGGACCUGUUUAUCAAAGGUCACCAACUGUCAUUGGGUUUUUACCUCUGGGAACCAUGAAUGUCUAAACUGUAUCAGAUUUUAUAAGAAUCUACAUGAAAAGUUGUUGAAAUUUUUCCCUCUGAACCAAAGUGGUGGACCAACAGACCAACAGAUCAGUGGUUCCCAACCUGGGGGCCAUGAGCCUCUGAGGGGUCCCCAGAUAAGCCCAAGAGAUUGUACCCAAGAAUCAUUCAAACUGAAGACAUGAGGAGGAAAAAAUCAGUCUUUGACCUGCUCACAACUUAAAAACAUAAAGAUGGUUGCAUUGCUCUGUUUUCAUGGCUUGCAAGGAACCAUUGUUGUAGAAGUUCAGUGCUUGGUCUUCACUUCCCUUCAACUUUUGGGAAGCACCGGUUGCUCUUUUGUUAUGUAUAUAUGAAACUGGCUUAUUUUUUUGUUACCAGCUAGUUCUCAAAUCAUGUCUCUGUUUACAGCGUUUCUUCUAUUACAGCACAGACUUGAAUCUGCCAGACUGUAUAAGCAGUAUAUUAAAUUCAGCAGUGUUCAGUCUGACAAUAAUGGCAGGUUGACAUGUCUCUAAAACUCUGGCUGUCCAGUCAACAAGUUACUUGUCAGUCAUGUGAGUUUUGUUUACAAGCCCCCAUGUGCUUGUAAAAUACUUGGUGUGAAAGAGCAAAAAAAUAAACACACAGCUCUCAACUCCAACCUGCAGCCCACUGAGUCUGAACUUCAUUUCAUAAUAUCACCACAAGCUGUUUUAUAUUUACAAAUGAAGAAUUGAGAGUCACUCCUGACUCUUAAUUUCCUCCCGCUCAUUUCUUGUUUUGUUGUGGAGGAAUUGAAGGCAGCAGACAACUCUGCAGUGAGUCAGUCCAGUAUCUGCAGCUCUAAGGAGGGAAGUACAGGCUUUUCCAAAACUGUGUGCAUCUAUUUUGGACUUAAAACAAAACAAAGACAAAAUCAUUACGCAAAGUUCUUCAUUCAGUAUCCUUUAAAUAUAAAGGAUUUAGUCUGUACAAAUGUCUGUCAGACUGUGGUCAGACUGCUGACCAAUCUGUUAAAUCAGAGCCUUGUUGCACAUUUGGGGGUUUCCAGACAAGUCUCAAGUACAUGUCCAAGUCACAUUUCCUCUAUUUAUGAGAAAAUUGUACGUCAAAUCUUUCAAGUAUGCUGUUAAAUGACUGAGAUUUAGAGAUAUCACUCCAAAAUCCAUGCCCAAACCCCUGCACCACCUGAUGCCCUGCAGUGGACAAUGGCUAAACCUUAGAUA